UACGGAGGGUGCAAGCGUUGUCCGGAAUCACUGGGCGUAAAGGGCGCGUAGGCGGCUCAUGAAGGCUGUGGUGAAAGUCCGGGGCUCAACCUCGGAUCGGCCGUGGCGACUCGUGGGCUGGAGCACUGUAGAGACGGGUGGAAUUCCGGGUGUAGCGGUGGAAUGCGUAGAGAUCCGGAAGAACACCAGUGGCGAAGGCGGCCCGCUGGGCAGUGGCUGACGCUGAGGCGCGACAGCGUGGGGAGCAAACAGG
rnacentral:rRNA from 1 species